AGGCCCGUCGUAUAAUGGUUAAUACCUGAUUCUUAUACAGUCAAGACGAGGGUUCGAUUCCUUCCGGGCCUA
rnacentral:tRNA from 1 species